rnacentral:rRNA from 1 species
AUGCUUAAGUCUUCUGGAAAAGGAAGCGCCCAUGGAGGGUUGAUAGCCCCGUCUAGCAUUGACCUCAUAUUAGGAUCUUAACAUGGAGUCGAGUUGUUUGGGGAAUGCAGCUCAAAUGGGUGGUAUGCUCCAUCUAAAGCUAAAUAUCUGCGAGAGACCGAUAGUAAACAAGUACUGUGAGGGAAAGAUGAAAAGAACUUUGAAAAGAGAGUGAAAGAGUACGUGAAAUUGUUGAAAUGGAAGGGUAUGCCGCUAACCAUGUAUAACCCUGUUGGGGGGGAAGAUGUAUGCU